GAUGAAGAACGCAGCGAAAUGCGAUAAGUAAUGUGAAUUGCAGAAUUCAGUGAAUCAUCGAAUCUUUGAACGCACAUUGCGCCCGCUGGUAUUCCGGCGGGCAUGCCUGUUCGAGCGUCAUUUCAACCCUCAAGCUCUCCGGAGUUUGGUGUUGGGGCGCCUGGGGCUUUUCGACCUCGGGGCCCUCAAGUCCAUCGGCGGGACCGCCAGGACACUGAGCGCAGUAGUAUUAUUUCGCUCGGUAGGAUCUUCCACGGCGGGUCGAUCUGGCCGCUAAACCCCCCAAUUCUCACCAAAGGUUGACCUCGGAUCAGGUAGGAAUACCCGCUGAACUUAAGCAUAUCAAUAAGCGGAGGA
rnacentral:misc_RNA from 1 species